AAGAGAAAGAAAAUUCGAUUCCCUGAGUAGCGGCGAGCGAAACGGGAAGAGCCCAAACCAACAAGCUUGCUUGUUGGGGUUGUAGGACUCCAAUAUGGUAGUCUGUUAGUAUAGUUGAAGGAUUUGGAAAAUUCCGCUAAAGAGGGUGAAAGCCCCGUAGACGAAAUGCUGACAACACCUAGGAGGAUCCUGAGUACGGCGGAACACGAGAAAUUCCGUCGGAAUCCGCGGGGACCAUCCCGCAAGGCUAAAUACUCCCUAGUGACCGAUAGUGAACCAGUACCGUGAGGGAAAGGUGAAAAGCACCCCGGAAGGGGAGUGAAAUAGAUCCUGAAACCGUGUGCCUACAACAAGUCAAAGCUCGUUAAUGAGUGAUGGCGUGCCUUUUGUAGAAUGAACCGGCGAGUUACGAUUGCAUGCGAGGUUAAGUCGAAGAGACGGAGCCGCAGCGAAAGCGAGUCUGAAUAGGGCGAAUGAGUAUGUAGUCGUAGACCCGAAACCAUGUGAUCUACCCAUGUCCAGGUUGAAGGUGCGGUAAAACGCACUGGAGGACCGAACCCACGUACGUUGAAAAGUGCGGGGAUGAGGUGUGGGUAGCGGAGAAAUUCCAAACGAACUUGGAGAUAGCUGGUUCUCUCCGAAAUAGCUUUAGGGCUAGCCUCGGAAUUGAGAAUGAUGGAGGUAGAGCACU
rnacentral:rRNA from 1 species